UUAAAUGUCCUCUGUGUUUGAUUAAUUGGAACCAUACAGAGAAAGAUUAUCAAGUCCUCCACACAAGGAUGACACACUCAAAUCAAUAGAUGGUUCAAACUUUA
rnacentral:snRNA from 1 species